UACGGAGGGUGCAAGCGUUAAUCGGAAUUACUGGGCGUAAAGCGCACGCAGGCGGUCUGUCAAGUCGGAUGUGAAAUCCCCGGGCUCAACCUGGGAACUGCAUCCGAAACUGGCAGGCUAGAGACUUGUAGAGGGGGGUAGAAUUCCAGGUGUAGCGGUGAAAUGCGUAGAGAUCUGGAGGAAUACCGGUGGCGAAGGCGGCCCCCUGGACAAAGACUGACGCUCAGGUGCGAAAGCGUGGGGAGCAAACAGGAUUAGGUACCCUGGUAGUCCACGCCGUAAACGAUGUCGACUUGGAGGUUGUGCCCUUGAGGCGUGGCUUCCGGAGCUAACGCGUUAAGUCGACCGCCUGGGGAGUACGGCCGCAAGGUUAAA
rnacentral:rRNA from 1 species